rnacentral:lncRNA from 1 species
UUUUUCGCUUCUCAACUGUCCCAAAAAAGAGGGAAAUUCGGCCUUCGACCAAGUCCUGGGCUAAUUUGCCUUUCUUCUCGAGAAACUUUCAACAAAAUAAUUGAUUUAGUUCGUCAGCGGCAGAAGAUCGAACAGUUGGGGAGCAUUAUAGAAAUAAUAAAAGAGGUAAUUAUCAGAUCAGAAAGAAGAAGAGGAAUGGUCCUUCCUCUGUUUAAGAUCGGAACACUCGCUUUCAGGACUCUCAGCAAACCCAUCGCUGGUAGACUCAAAACCGCCGCUGGCUUUCAUCCUAGAUUCCGCCAAUCUAUCAUCAACAUCGCCAGGGUACUUAUCUACUUAUGUGUGUUUUUUUACAGCAAUUCUGGAGUUAGUUUCUUUUGCAUUAAUAAAAUAGAAAUUUGGUUUUACAGACAAUGAGACAUAGUAUGAACUUAAUAUGGGUUUAAGGGAUUAAUGUUGGGGAGUUUGUUUUUUUAGAUGGGUUUAUGAGUAAAGUAGGAGAAUGUUAGUGUUUCCGGAGUCAUUAUGGAAUUUGGGCGACUCUGUUGCUGUGUUGCAUUUCUGCAUUCAGUUUUAGUUUUAACUUAAUUUCUGACUUAUAAAUAAAAAUGGUACCAACUACCAAAGACUUUUAUUUUCUAACUUAUAAGUCAUUUCAAAAUUUAAGUUCUAAGUUGUUUUAAAAUAAGUCACUUCUGUACAUCCCUUUGUGUGGCUAAUCGUUGUAUUUAGAGUAGGUCAUUCGAAGAAUAUGAAUUGUUGUCUUGAAUACAAAUUUUAGUUUCAAAUUUAGGCUUUAUUGAAAUGGACAUAAGUGAAUGUUUGUACUCAUUUUAGUAAUUUGAAUUGUUGAUCCUAAUGCAAUGUAAAAUAACAUCUGUAACAUUGAAGGAAAAUGCCAACUAUAAGUAUAAUUAUUUUUNNNNNNNNNNNNNNNNNNNNNNNNNNNNNNNNNNNNNNNNNNNNNNNNNNNNNNNNNNNNNNNNNNNNNNNNNNNNNNNNNNNNNNNNNNNNNNNNNNNNUUCUUCAUUUGGGUAAAUUUCCCAUUUUUUCCCUUAUCGAUCUAAUAGGAAAAAACAUUACAUUGACAUCUGCAUAAUCCUUAAUUUGUUCUUCAUUUAAGUUAUUGCUCACAUUAUCACAUCGUUGCAUGUUUUUCCAAUUUCUUUGUACACAGGAUACUCUACUCAAAUAAAUAAGAAUAUCAAAUAUAUAAAACUUGAGUAUUUAUUUCUGAAUUAAACGGAGGAAUCAUUAAUGGUGUCAACCAAUAAAGUAAAGUGACAUGCAUAAUGAAUUCACUCAUUGGAUUUCUUCCUAGAAAAAGGAUAUUUGAUUAGGUUUGAAAUUAAAUUAAAAACAAGAAAUAUCAUUGGAUUUCUUCACCAUGCAGUUAACUAGUUAAACAUAAAUAAUCUUAAUUUUAGAAAUUAAAUGUUGAUUAAAUGUUGUGGGUUUGAAUUAUUGCAGGUUUUUUCCCAGAGGGUAUAAGAAAAGUGCACAGGAGGGACCUCUGGUGCUUCAUAUAAACCCCUGAUUUGGUUAUUUCAUCUUAAUUCAUCACAACAUUAUACAUAAUAAAAUGGGUGACAAAACUUUUCACAUAGCUACAUCCAUGGUUUGCCAUGGGCCAUCUUACUUCUUUUCUUCAUCAAGGAUAUUUUUCUGAACAUUCUUGUUAAAAUUUAAUCUUUUCAUGUCGGGGUACUAUUCACGGAGUACUAUUCAUGAAGUACUAUUCACGGGGUACUAUUUACCCAGAAAAUUAAUUUCUUUUCUGUUUAAAUUAUUUUUGAUACAUGAAUAUUAUUCUUGAAUUUUACUCCACAAAGCAGUUGUCAUGUUGACAAUUUAGACAUUUUUAAAUUUUAGAUAAAUUAAAUUUUUUUAAUAUUUAUCCUUGAUUUCGUUUGAUUGAUGUUUAUAUCAUUGUCAUCAUUCUCAUCAUGCUUAUAUUGUGAUAAAAGUCAUCUUUGACUCGUAGUGCAUAGAUGGACUGUUGAUUGGUAUGAUUAUGACUAUGUAUCGGUAUAAUCAUGACCAUUAGUGAUAAUACGAAUAUCCUUGGCUUGUAGUGCAUGGAUGAUUCGUGGAUGUGAUAAUAAUGAAUAUCCUUGGCCCGUAGUGCAUGGAUAAUUUAGUGAUGUUGAUUAUUUAUUGAGCUGAGUCUCAGUGAUAAAAUUGAUGAUAAACUUUUAAAUUAUAGAAGAUAGUAGAUAUCAUGCUCUACUUGACUCUUUUAAUGGAUUAUUUGUUCCGCUGCAGUUAAACUUGUUGUCUAUUGUAUUCCAUCAGUUUAACACUGUUGAAGGCUAACGAUAAUUUUUUUUGUAUUAUUUUAGUCAUAAUAUUAUUUACUAGAUUAGUUGAGCUCACCCUUUGCUUUCAUUGUUCUCCUCAGGAAAUGAGAAUAUAGCUGAGCUAGUCAGAGAAUGGAGUGACGGUCCAGAUGGUUGCUUUAGUAGUCCUCACUAUUCUGUAAAAUAGUGUAAUAAUAAUUGUAAUGAGGACUUCAUUUGAGUUUGAAUAUUUUUUAGGAGACAAUAUUCAUGUUAAAACUCUCAGCUUAUUUUACACGAUAGUUGUAUAAUUAAGUUUGUAUUUGUAUUCUAUACCAUGUAUUUGGCGACUCAAAAUGGGUGAUGUAUACCUAUUUUGGGGGCGUCAAAGCUUGAGCAACUUUAACUUUAUCGAUUAAAGUCACUUUACUCGUAUAUUUGUUAUCAUCACGUGGGUCCCUAGAG